rnacentral:rRNA from 1 species
UACAGAGGUCCCGAGCGUUGUUCGGAUUCAUUGGGCGUAAAGGGUGCGUAGGCGGCGGGGUAAGUUUGAUGUGAAAUUCCGGGGCUCAACCCUGGCAUGGCAUUGAAUACUACCUUGCUAGAGUACCGGAGAGGAAACUGGAAUUUACGGUGUAGCAGUGAAAUGCGUAGAGAUCGUAAGGAAGACCAGUGGCGAAGGCGAGUUUCUGGACGGUAACUGACGCUGAUGCGCGAAAGCUAGGGGAGCAAACAGG